AGAGUUUGAUCAUGGCUCAGGAUGAACGCUGGCGGCGUGCCUAACACAUGCAAGUCGAACGGAGUUAUAUAACGGAAGUUUCGGAUGGAAGAUAUAUAACUUAGUGGCGGACGGGUGAGUAACGCGUGGGCAACCUGCCCUGUACCGGGGGAUAACACUUAGAAAUAGGUGCUAAUACCGCAUAAGCGCACAGCUUCGCAUGAAGCAGUGUAGAAAAAACUCCGGUGGUACAGGAUGGACCCGCGUCUGAUUAGCUAGUUGGGUGGGGUAGAGGCCCACCAAGGCGACGAUCAGUAGCCGGCCUGAGAGGGUGACCGGCCACAGUUGGGACUGAGACACCGGACCCAAACUCCGUACGGGAGGCAGCAGGUGGGGAAUAUUGCACAAUGGGGGAAACCCUGAUGCAAGCGACGCCGCGUGAGUGAAGAAGUAUUUCGGUACGUAAAGCUCUAUCAGCAGGGAAGAAAAUGACGGUACCUGACUAAGAAGCCCCGGCUAACUACGUGCCAGCAGCAGC
rnacentral:rRNA from 1 species